rnacentral:tRNA from 1 species
GCGGACGUGGCGAAACCGGUAGACGCAGGGGACUUAAAAUCCCCCUCCUAUGGAGUGCGGGUUCGAGUCCCGCCGUCCGCA